rnacentral:pre_miRNA from 2 species
AAUUUUCUGACAACCAUUUCACAUUGCGCUAUUAGGUGUUCAAACAGUAGUUUGAACACCUAAUAGUGCAAUGUGAAAUGGUUGUCAGAAAAUU